AUUGAACGCUGGCGGCAGGCCUAACACAUGCAAGUCGAGCGGAUGAAGGGAGCUUGCUCCUGGAUUCAGCGGCGGACGGGUGAGUAAUGCCUAGGAAUCUGCCUGGUAGUGGGGGAUAACGUCCGGAAACGGGCGCUAAUACCGCAUACGUCCUGAGGGAGAAAGUGGGGGAUCUUCGGACCUCACGCUAUCAGAUGAGCCUAGGUCGGAUUAGCUAGUUGGUGGGGUAAAGGCCUACCAAGGCGACGAUCCGUAACUGGUCUGAGAGGAUGAUCAGUCACACUGGAACUGAGACACGGUCCAGACUCCUACGGGAGGCAGCAGUGGGGAAUAUUGGACAAUGGGCGAAAGCCUGAUCCAGCCAUGCCGCGUGUGUGAAGAAGGUCUUCGGAUUGUAAAGCACUUUAAGUUGGGAGGAAGGGCAGUAAGCUAAUUCCUUGCUGUUUUGACGUUACCAACAGAAUAAGCACCGGCUAACUUCGUG
rnacentral:rRNA from 1 species